rnacentral:rRNA from 1 species
UAGGGAAUAUUGGACAAUGGGGGCAACCCUGAUCCAGCCAUGCCGCGUGAGUGAAGAAGGCCCUCGGGUUGUAAAGCUCUUUUGUCCGGAAAGAAAAGCAUUCGGUGAAUACCCGGAUGUUCUGACGGUACCGGAAGAAUAAGCACCGGCUAACUUCGUGCCAGCAGCCGCGGUAAUACGAAGGGUGCAAGCGUUACUCGGAAUUACUGGGCGUAAAGCGUGCGUAGGUGGUUGUUUAAGUCUGAUGUGAAAGCCCUGGGCUCAACCUGGGAAUGGCAUUGGAAAAUGGGCAGCUAGAGUGCGGUAGAGGGUAGUGGAAUUCCCGGUGUAGCAGUGAAAUGCGUAGAGAUCGGGAGGAACAUCUGUGGCGAAGGCGACUGCCUGGACCAGCACUGACACUGAGGCACGAAAGCGUGGGGAGCAAACA